rnacentral:rRNA from 1 species
AAAUUGAAGAGUUUGAUCAUGGCUCAGAUUGAACGCUGGCGGCAGGCCUAACACAUGCAAGUCGAACGGUAACAGGAAGCAGCUUGCUGCUUUGCUGACGAGUGGCGGACGGGUGAGUAAUGUCUGGGAAACUGCCUGAUGGAGGGGGAUAACUACUGGAAACGGUAGCUAAUACCGCAUAACGUCGCAAGACCAAAGAGGGGGACCUUCGGGCCUCUUGCCAUCGGAUGUGCCCAGAUGGGAUUAGCUUGUUGGUGGGGUAACGGCUCACCAAGGCGACGAUCCCUAGCUGGUCUGAGAGGAUGACCAGCCACACUGGAACUGAGACACGGUCCAGACUCCUACGGGAGGCAGCAGUGGGGAAUAUUGCACAAUGGGCGCAAGCCUGAUGCAGCCAUGCCGCGUGUAUGAAGAAGGCCUUCGGGUUGUAAAGUACUUUCAGCGGGGAGGAAGGGAGUAAAGUUAAUACCUUUGCUCAUUGACGUUACCCGCAGAAGAAGCACCGGCUAACUCCGUGCCAGCAGCCGCGGUAAUACGGAGGGUGCAAGCGUUAAUCGGAAUUACUGGGCGUAAAGCGCACGCAGGCGGUUUGUUAAGUCAGAUGUGAAAUCCCCGGGCUCAACCUGGGAACUGCAUCUGAUACUGGCAAGCUUGAGUCUCGUAGAGGGGGGUAGAAUUCCAGGUGUAGCGGUGAAAUGCGUAGAGAUCUGGAGGAAUACCGGUGGCGAAGGCGGCCCCCUGGACGAAGACUGACGCUCAGGUGCGAAAGCGUGGGGAGCAAACAGGAUUAGAUACCCUGGUAGUCCACGCCGUAAACGAUGUCGACUUGGAGGUUGUGCCCUUGAGGCGUGGCUUCCGGAGCUAACGCGUUAAGUCGACCGCCUGGGGAGUACGGCCGCAAGGUUAAAACUCAAAUGAAUUGACGGGGGCCCGCACAAGCGGUGGAGCAUGUGGUUUAAUUCGAUGCAACGCGAAGAACCUUACCUGGUCUUGACAUCCACAGAACUUUCCAGAGAUGGAUUGGUGCCUUCGGGAACUGUGAGACAGGUGCUGCAUGGCUGUCGUCAGCUCGUGUUGUGAAAUGUUGGGUUAAGUCCCGCAACGAGCGCAACCCUUAUCCUUUGUUGCCAGCGGUCCGGCCGGGAACUCAAAGGAGACUGCCAGUGAUAAACUGGAGGAAGGUGGGGAUGACGUCAAGUCAUCAUGGCCCUUACGACCAGGGCUACACACGUGCUACAAUGGCGCAUACAAAGAGAAGCGACCUCGCGAGAGCAAGCGGACCUCAUAAAGUGCGUCGUAGUCCGGAUUGGAGUCUGCAACUCGACUCCAUGAAGUCGGAAUCGCUAGUAAUCGUGGAUCAGAAUGCCACGGUGAAUACGUUCCCGGGCCUUGUACACACCGCCCGUCACACCAUGGGAGUGGGUUGCAAAAGAAGUAGGUAGCUUAACCUUCGGGAGGGCGCUUACCACUUUGUGAUUCAUGACUGGGGUGAAGUCGUAACAAGGUAACCGUAGGGGAACCUGCGGUUGGAUCAC